rnacentral:lncRNA from 10 species
CUGUCUGUUGGCUGGCGUUGGUCUCUUUUCCCGGUCCUUGCUUUUCACUUCCUGGGCGCCCAGGCCCAGGCCAUCCCAUUCGGUAGAGUGGAGAGGCCUUGGAAACCAUGGUCUGGUCCUGGGAGCGCGCCGCUGGCCUUGGGAGCACAUAUGGUUCUGCCAUCUACGCCGCUUGCGAUGUGUGACCUUGGCUGAGUCAUUUCAUCAUUAAUCUGUAUCUCCGUCCGCCUGGCACCCAGUGAAUGUUUGUGGAAUCAGUACAUGAAUCGUGUUCUAGACCCAGUGCUGUACUGAUAAAUGUGUAACAACCAGCUCUCUGGGGGGAGAACGGGAAUGUAUGCACAUAUAUAGGUACAAAAAUUUGUCGUUAAGUUUUACUGACAUAAAGGAUGUGUAGUUCACAAUUUACAAUUAAUAGUAAAUUGGCAAAUUCCAUAUAACUCUUUCUCACAGAAUGCUUUCAUUGAUUUUUGCCAAACUCUUAUAUGGGUAGCCAAACUGUGAUUGCAGUUGACCUAGGAGUGUAAUUGUAAAGGUGAAUGUUGGUUGAUAAAACUGAAAAAGACAAAACUUAAUUGGAUUGUCAAUGAUGGGAGCAACUUCUUUGCUGAGUCAGAAAACGGUUUCAAAUACUGGAAGAAUAUUUACUCAAUUUUUGUGCUAUUCAUAAUGUAACGGCUACAGACAACACAUUAAGUUUUUGCUGUUGUUGAGAUGGAAUCUUUCUCUAUUGCCCAGGCUGGAGUGCAAUGGCGCUAUCUUGGCUCACUGCAACCUCUGCCUCCCGGGUUCAAGCAAUUCUCCUGCCUCGCUCCAGGCAUGUUGUGAGGAUCAAAUAAGAUCAAGCUUUUUGUGUGGAGGAGGUGAGACUGGAGGCAGGGAGCCCAUUGAAAUAGUCCCAGUGGGAGAUAUUGAGAGAUGCAAGGGAAAAGGAGGAAGGAUCAGCUGCAGAACUCAGUGACUUCUAAUACCUGAGGGUGCAUUGAGGGGAAGAGGGUGGAGGGUUGAGUCCUGCAACCAGAGGGACCUUUUCAGAAUGGAAAUGUGUUCAUAGCCUGUGAUUAAAAUUGUUCAUGGCUUCCCAUUGUUCUUAGGCUAAUGUGUGAUCUUGUGAUCUGACCCCUGUGUGAUCUAACCCCUGCCUCUCUAGCCACAUCCCCUGCUAAGCUCCACCUUGUUCUCUGUUCCCUGCAUUCCCAUCAACCUUGCGGCAGGCUCCCAUACAUGUGGGCAAGAAAAGCUAUUCCCUUUUCUUGCAAGACUUUUCUCUUUUUGCUUAGUAAACUCCUACUCAUCCUUCAGAUUGAACUCACUCCUCACUACCUUAGGGAAAUCUCCCUGCCUGGGCCCUUCCUCCUCCCCAGGCUCUGAGAUCAUUCCUUUGUUGCACUUACU